UCUAAGAUAAAGGAAAUAUUUAAAUAAAAAGAAGGAUGUUAGUUCUAUGUAAGGUAGCUAAUCGAACGUCGAAACACGAUGACCCGAGCGACGGAAAAUUGUAUUAUCGGGACGGUUAGCGUACGUAGGUGCGAUCCGAAUGUUCCUUGGCCAAAUUCUUGGCACGCUGCACGGUUGCACCGUUGCUCGAGCUGCUCGCCGAUUCCAAACGAUUCGAGGGCCUCGUUACACUGGCUUCGUUUACAGAACUCCAGCCGAUGGUUCUCCAAACGAUCGCCGGUCGAAACGUCGAUCGUCCUCGAUUCGACUCGCAUCUCAGUUAGACGGCCGACCCGAUCGAUGGUCGCGUCGCACGGUGAAAUGCGUGAAAUUGUUGACAACGCGGGAGGCGAAAACGCGCGCACCUUGCGCCUGCUGCUCGCUCCAGCAACCCAGAUCUCCGCGCCAUGGAAAUGUACCGUUAAAACGUGGCACGGACCCGCAGCCGUUACUCCUGUUCGACGAAUCGUCGGUCAACAGGAACUCUCGCUCCCCCUCUGUCACCGACGCCCGUUCUGACCGAUGGAUCGCAGGAUAUCCGGACGAUUCCCCGCGGUAGACCCUAUCGGAGAAGCACGGAGCAACGAUUUUUCGCGCGGUCGUGCUCCGAAGGAAGAUCGGCGACAAAUGGGUCGAUGCGAUCUCGCGGAAGAGACAACCGGAGUUGUGGCAACCGUCCAAGGAUUGGCAACGCGUUCGUCGUGACGAAACAGCAUUCGACUGUAUCGAUGAAAAAACUUCACGGUUCGCGGACUUCGCGAUGCCGAUAUCAUCCAUUAUGCUCGCGAGUUGAGCCGCGAUAAACGACUUCCGGCGUACUUCUUAUGGUGCUGCUCCAUAUUCACGUUGCGACGCGGUUCCACGAGCGAAAGUACUUCCACGGCUAAAUUAUUAUCGGCACGCGGUGCGGUAGCAGGAAGAGCUCGUCCUUCGAGGAUACAGGAACACUCCAAACGCGGAACGGUCAAUAAUUCGUAACACUGUCAGUGUCGAGAACGGGCACCAAGUCCCGCGACCUUGGAAGACACGAGUCCCAGGACCUCUCGAACGACCACAUUCCUCUUACGCGAUGUUGAGAAACUACGCGUAGGAAGUGUUCGUCGAAACCUUGUCAGAGUCUGCGUUAUUAUACGGAGGAUGAUUUGUAAAAAGUAUUCGAAACGAUAUCUUUUCGAUGCACAGCCAAGCAUUGAUUUUUGCGCAAAUAAGAUGUUACUCGAACGAUCCGCGUUUUAUCGCCCAGGAUCGAAGUUGCAAAAUUGUUUAACGGGUCGCGACUGUCGAAGUGGACCAAGUGGUAACGCGAGCGGGAAACCUACGCUUGUGUUACACACUUUUGCUCGCUGAAUCAACGAUCCCGAUAAACGCGCGCGUAACAUUCUCACAGUCGUCGCCGCUUUCAAACUUGGGCGUCUCGCUGCAUUGUUGCGCGCCUUUUGCAUAAUUCGACUUCCGGCAUUCCGAGGUUUUCGCCCGCGUAUCUACGAAGCGGCACGGUUUUGUCGGCGAAAGUGCCUAUUGAUGGCGUAUGAUCGACUAACGACGACGGCAGGAAAAACGUCGAUGAUCCAACGAACCGUCCCUCGGACUCGCUGGCCUCCCUCUUCGACGCGUGGUGGAUCUGCGGUUUCGCGAAAGGGGCCAGUGGUGCGUCGGAUACGUCCGACAGGAUUACCCGCGUGUUCUUAUAUCGGUGAGAAGGAAAUCGACGUAACUCGAGUAUCGCGUUUUUAUACCGGCGAUCCCUGCUACUGGGAUACCAACGGCUGCUUGAUUCUCAUUAAUCUUCGAUGCCAUUGACUUUGGUUGGACGCGUUGUGUGAAAAAAUCGCAAAGAAAAAAUCCCGCGCGAAGCAAGGACACGCCGUAUCGCAAGUGCACGGGAGGUACGCGGACUACCGAGGCCGAUCGCGAGCACUAUUCUUUCUUCUCCUACGUCUCGGGACGGCAAAUGAGAAUUUCGUGGCUCGUCGGGACCUCGAGGUGCUCGGCUUAAUAAGGAUCCUUUGGAGUAGUCGACGACUAGACGCGGGAAGACUUCUCCGAGACGGAACAGGGAGAGGGUAAUAACAGCGAUGAAGAAGAAGGCACUCCGAGAGGACGCCUCCGGCACUUUUCUCCUGGCUUAAUCGUUAUGGAAAGUCGGAGGAUAAUAUGGGACGUCGGCGUGCUGCAGAAUCUUGUAGGAUCGCCGCGUAGCCGGCAUUCUCCGCGAACCGAGAGAAAUAAACGAGCGACUCUGAAUUUAUUCCACGAACGCCGAAGUGAAAACCUUCUGUCCUCGUUUAAUCAACGGUAAGACGUAAAAACUGUCGUAUCGUCGCGUUGGCUCCGAAUGCUCAGGAUUCCUCGUUGCCGAAGGUGUACGAGUACGGGAUAACGCCUGUCUCGAAGAAUCGCACGUAGUGGUGUUUAUUCCGCGGAUAACGCCGAAAAUACGCAUUUCUUCGAAGCGGCGAGGAUAAUAAUACAGGUGUACCGCAGCAUCUCGUUGGAGCAGGACGCUCCGUAGCCCACAUUGCCGAAGUAAGCUGCGGUGUCGGUAGCGGUGGGUUCGAGACGCCAUCGCAGCGUUUCGUUGCUUCGAGCGCACACCCGUGUCUGACUUUUUUUUUAAAUUGAAGGAAAUUGAAAAUCUGGAGUGAUCCGAAUCGAUAGAAAAAAGGUUUUAUCUAGAAUAAAACAGUCGAAUAAAAAAAAAAAAUUGAUGUAUUUACAAUAGGUGUGUCGACUGACAUAUCGGAAGAUAAGGAUGAAUAUUUUUGCGUGUAACGUUAUCAACGCGAACGUUAUCUAAAAAAUGUUUUCGGUGAACGUAAAAGCACGUGAAAUCUCACGGGUGCGAA